GAAGCAAAUUCAUAAUAUUUUCUCUUUCUCCAAUUCCCAACUCUGUCUUCUUCUCACCUUCCCCCUCUGGCCCCUUCCUGUCCUUUCCCCUCUCUCAGAUGACAAACAAUUUCAUACAGAUUCUAUUUACAUAAGUACCCCAAAUUAGGUACUACAAAGAGUAGUUAUAAUGAGCAGAAGGAUUAAGAGAAUUAGAAGUCCACUCUCAGUCCUUAGCAGGAGCCCGGCACUCUCCUAAGCUCUUCCCCAUCUCAUUUGAUCCUCUCAAGAAGUGAGAAACGAGUGCCGAUAGUGUCCCCCCUUACAACAUGCAGUCACAUUGUCAGUGCUUAUGGGCAGCGCUUUAAGCGUCUCCUGAGGAAUGGCAGGACACUAAAAUUCUAUUCAAUAAACAGUGUUCGACGCCGCCUGCCAUCGGCAAGCCCACAGCAUGGAGGAUGAAGAACUCGCCUUGGAGUGAGGAGGAUUCCCACCUCUGACACACGAUUCUGCAUGGACGUGGACAAGCCACUUAACCUUUCGGGAGCUCAAGUAAUACUCUAAGACUAGGAGCUGCAGAGAAGGUGCAGGUCCCACCUCGUAGGAGGCGCGACUCCCUUAGAAGCCCCCCUUCUAAUAAAGAAUCGUGCCCAUGGCAACGAAACCACAAUGGUUGUGCCACGCUAGCUAGUCAUCGUCGAGUUCCUGGGAACAACCGAUGGUCUUGAUAUGGUUCCACUUUUAUAACAGCACGAGUGUUUGCUUCUACUGAAACGAGACCGGCUAGUCUGACGUGGAACAGGAUUGAAGAGCUGCUACUGUUUUGGAGAAGGAAGAAAAAUCACGGGCAAAAUAAUGACGUAAUACCAGUCCGCAGGGUUUGGAAACUGCCGUUUUCAACAGUGAAACUUCGUUUUUUAAUGUAUGGCUUUGUUAAAAUCACUGGCGGAAGUACAGUGAAGUGGUGGAAGAGGCAGACUUUAGCCUUCAGAACUGGCACUGAAGACUCACAUCCUCCAUUGCCUGCCUCCAUUCGGUUUGGACCUAUUUGAGCUGUUUUAAUCAUGUUCCCAACUUGCCACUGAAGUGAGAUACGAUUAUUAUAGCUUUGAAACCUGAAGGCAUUGACCAAUGAAUGUCAUCCUGCUUAAAUAUAAAAGAUAUGCCGUGCCAGCUCUCAGGACUGACCAGAAACACAAUUGUAGUGAAGAGGGUCUGUCCUUUGUUAUAUGGUCUCAUGGGAGAGCAUAACUAGAAGCUCCCUCCAUAUCAGAGAGCAAUCCAGAAGUAUGUGAAAGAGAAGGUGAGAAAGAAAAAGACAGACGGAGACAGAAACAGAGACAAAGAAUCAGAGACAGAGAUAGAAAGAGACAAAGAAUCAGAGGCAGAGAGACAGAGACAAAGAAUCAGAGACAGAGAUAGAGACAAAGAAUCAGAGACAGAGAGACAGAGACAAAGAAUCAGAGACAGAGAUAGAGACAAAGAAUCAGAGGCAGAGAGACAGAGACAAAGAAUCAGAGACAGAGAGACAGAGACAAAGAAUCAGAGACAGAGAUAGAGACAAAGAAUCAGAGACAGAGAGACAGAGACAAAGAAUCAGAGACAGAGAUAGAGACAAAGAAUCAGAGACAGAG
rnacentral:lncRNA from 1 species